rnacentral:rRNA from 1 species
UGGGGAAUAUUGCACAAUGGGCGGAAGCCUGAUGCAGCGACGCCGCGUGGGGGAUGAAGGCCUUCGAGUUGUAAACUCCUUUCGACAGGGACGAAGCGUAAGUGACGGUACCUGUAUAAGAAGCACCGGCUAACUACGUGCCAGCAGCCGCGGUAAUACGUAGGGUGCGAGCGUUGUCCGGAAUUACUGGGCGUAAAGAGCUCGUAGGUGGUUUGUCGCGUCGUCUGUGAAAUUCCGGGGCUUAACUCCGGGCGUGCAGGCGAUACGGGCUGACUUGAGUGCUGUAGGGGAGACUGGAAUUCCUGGUGUAGCGGUGAAAUGCGCAGAUAUCAGGAGGAAUACCGAUGGCGAAGGCAGGUCUCUGGGCAGUAACUGACGCUGAGGAGCGAAAGCAUGGGUAGCGAACAGGAUUAGAUACCCUGGUAGUCCAUGCCGUAAACGGUGGGCGCUAGGUGUAGGGGGCUUCCACGUCUUCUGUGCCGUAGCUAACGCAUUAAGCGCCCCGCCUGGGGAGUACGGCCGCAAGGCUA